rnacentral:rRNA from 1 species
GACGAAUGCUGGCGGCGUGCUUAACACAUGCAAGUCGAACGGAAAGGCCCUGCUUGCAGGGUACUCGAGUGGCGAACGGGUGAGUAACACGUGGGUGAUCUGCCCUGCACUUCGGGAUAAGCCUGGGAAACUGGGUCUAAUACCGGAUAGGAGCCAUUUUUAGUGCGAUGGUUGGAAAGUUUUUUCGGUGUAGGAUGAGCUCGCGGCCUAUCAGCUUGUUGGUGGGGUAAUGGCCUACCAAGGCGGCGACGGGUAGCCGGCCUGAGAGGGUGGACGGCCACAUUGGGACUGAGAUACGGCCCAGACUCCUACGGGAGGCAGCAGUGGGGAAUAUUGCACAAUGGGCGCAAGCCUGAUGCAGCGACGCCGCGUGGGGGAUGACGGCCUUCGGGUUGUAAACUCCUUUCGCUAGGGACGAAGCUUUUGUGACGGUACCUAGAUAAGAAGCACCGGCUAACUACGUG